rnacentral:lncRNA from 1 species
GGGUUAUUAGCAGCAGUUACUUAUCAAUGUAACAACACAUUUUAUGCUUUAAAACAAUAAAAAAAGGUACAAAGAUAACAAAAUAUAAAAUUUGACAUACAAAUACAAUGGUUUUAGUACUGUGCAAUACUGAAUAUCUCAUUUGAAUUUCAGUAUACUCAGCACAUGCAGCACUGUACAUCAAACCAUCACACUUUAGAGAAAGCAAAACAUCUAAAUGUGAGUCUGAUUCUACUACACUAGUAUAUACUGCUUUUUACCUAACAUUUGCUCAUUGCAUACUUAUGUUUUUAACCAUUUUUAACAUGUCAACAUAACGGCAGGAUGAGAUUCUCAAGAUUUAUUUUUCUUCCUUUUUCUUUGAUUGAAUCUCAAUUCUAAUUGAUUGAAUAAUAAAAGUAGUUAGUGUGCAAUUAUAAGAGGGAAAAUAUGUUAAAAU